rnacentral:rRNA from 1 species
AACCCCGUCAGAUUGAACGCUGGCGGCAGGCCUAACACAUGCAAGUCGAGCGGUAGAGAGAAGCUUGCUUCUCUUGAGAGCGGCGGACGGGUGAGUAAUGCCUAGGAAUCUGCCUGGUAGUGGGGGAUAACGUUCGGAAACGGACGCUAAUACCGCAUACGUCCUACGGGAGAAAGCAGGGGACCUUCGGGCCUUGCGCUAUCAGAUGAGCCUAGGUCGGAUUAGCUAGUUGGUGGGGUAAUGGCUCACCAAGGCGACGAUCCGUAACUGGUCUGAGAGGAUGAUCAGUCACACUGGAACUGAGACACGGUCCAGACUCCUACGGGAGGCAGCAGUGGGGAAUAUUGGACAAUGGGCGAAAGCCUGAUCCAGCCAUGCCGCGUGUGUGAAGAAGGUCUUCGGAUUGUAAAGCACUUUAAGUUGGGAGGAAGGGCCAUUACCUAAUACGUGAUGGUUUGAC